GACGAACGCUGGCGGCGUGCUUAACACAUGCAAGUCGAACGGAAAGGCCCUGCUUUUGUGGGGUGCUCGAGUGGCGAACGGGUGAGUAACACGUGAGUAACCUGCCCUUGACUUUGGGAUAACUUCAGGAAACUGGGGCUAAUACCGGAUAGGAGCUCCUGCUGCAUGGUGGGGGUUGGAAAGUUUCGGCGGUUGGGGAUGGACUCGCGGCUUAUCAGCUUGUUGGUGGGGUAGUGGCUUACCAAGGCUUUGGCGGGUAGCCGGCCUGAGAGGGUGACCGGCCACAUUGGGACUGAGAUACGGCCCAGACUCCUACGGGAGGCAGCAGUGGGGAAUAUUGCACAAUGGGCGGUAGCCUGAUGCAGCAACGCCGCGUGCGGGAUGACGGCCUUCGGGUUGUAAACCGCUUUCGCCUGUGACGAAGCGUGAGUGACGGUAAUGGGUAAAGAAGCACCGGCUAACUACGUGCCAGCAGCCGCGGUGAUACGUAGGGUGCGAGCGUUGUCCGGAUUUAUUGGGCGUAAAGGGCUCGUAGGUGGUUGAUCGCGUCGGAAGUGUAAUCUUGGGGCUUAACCCUGAGCGUGCUUUCGAUACGGGUUGACUUGAGGAAGGUAGGGGAGAAUGGAAUUCCUGGUGGAGCGGUGGAAUGCGCAGAUAUCAGGAGGAACACCAGUGGCGAAGGCGGUUCUCUGGGCCUUUCCUGACGCUGAGGAGCGAAAGCGUGGGGAGCGAACAGGCUUAGAUACCCUGGUAGUCCACGCUGUAAACGGUGGGUACUAGGUGUGGGGUCCAUUCCACGGGUUCCGUGCCGUAGCUAACGCUUUAAGUACCCCGCCUGGGGAGUACGGCCGCAAGGCUAAAACUCAAAGGAAUUGACGGGGCCCCGCACAAGCGGCGGAGCAUGCGGAUUAAUUCGAUGCAACGCGUAGAACCUUACCUGGGUUUGACAUGGAUCGGGAGCGCUCAGAGAUGGGUGUGCCUCUUUUGGGGUCGGUUCACAGGUGGUGCAUGGCUGUCGUCAGCUCGUGUCGUGAGAUGUUGGGUUAAGUCCCGCAACGAGCGCAACCCUUGUUCACUGUUGCCAGCACGUUAUGGUGGGGACUCAGUGGAGACCGCCGGGGUCAACUCGGAGGAAGGUGGGGAUGACGUCAAGUCAUCAUGCCCCUUAUGUCCAGGGCUUCACGCAUGCUACAAUGGCUGGUACAGAGAGUGGCGAGCCUGUGAGGGUGAGCGAAUCUCGGAAAGCCGGUCUCAGUUCGGAUUGGGGUCUGCAACUCGACCUCAUGAAGUCGGAGUCGCUAGUAAUCGCAGAUCAGCAACGCUGCGGUGAAUACGUUCCCGGGGCU
rnacentral:rRNA from 1 species